UACGGAGGAUGCAAACGUUGCUCGGAAUCAUUGGGCGUAAAGCGCACGUAGGCGGCCUGUUAAGUCGGAUGUGAAAGCCCCGGGCUCAACCCGGGAAGUGCAUUCGAAACUGGCGGGCUUGAAUAUGGAAGAGGGUCGCGGAAUUCCCGGUGUAGAGGUGAAAUUCGUAGAUAUCAGGAGGAACACCAGUGGCGAAGGCGGCGACCUGGGCCAAUAUUGACGCUGAGGUGCGAAAGCGUGGGGAGCAAACAGG
rnacentral:rRNA from 1 species